rnacentral:lncRNA from 1 species
UAAAUUUCACCCAGUCAAACGCAGUAAACAUUAAACUUUAAGUCAAUAUCCAAACAUACAUCGUAACUGUCAUCCCUACUCAGUUCACAUAUAAUAUUACGGUCCAUACAGUCAAUACAUCUUAAUUAGUCAAUACAUCUUAAUUUUUGUUAUUGAGUCCAGUAGAAAAUCCCUUACCUCACUUUUAUGCAAGUUCUUCAAUCUAACUAAAUCCAAUAAAUCAAAUCCUACUAAUAAUCAAACAUAAAAUCAACAUCUUUCUAAAUAGUUUCAACCAUUCAAAUUACCCCAUAUGUAAAUUCCACAACUUACCCAAGAAGUGGAAAAUCAAUUCCACCUCAACUUUUUGGAAAAUCAAGGAUUCGCUCACUGAAUCAAGAUAUACCUUCAAGAAUUAAGCAUUUCGCCAACAAUUAAAUCCAAUGGUAGCAUUCAACAAAAGCCAAGAAAACAACAAAACCCAUAACUUGUUCUUACCGAAAUAUGAGCCCAAUGGUUCACGGCAAGGCAAAAAUGACAAUCAAGAAACGAAUCAAACGGCUGUAAAUAGAGCAACACUGAAUGCGACUCAACCGGAAAAGAAAAUCGACUUCAAAUCGUAACUCCGUCUUACAACGAGCAGAAGAACGUCGACUUGAUAGGGGACACGCAAUUUAGGAAGAGAUCGGCUUGGAUCCGUGUAUGACUUCACGAGAUGUAUGCGUCGACGGCUUCACGGAUGUGAAGACAGACGCGGUCGGAGUGUAGAGGGUUUAGGCGGUCGGCGUCCGCUAAGGGAGGCGAAACGCGCCAACGGCUGGGGAAGGGAGUAGAAGCGCGCGAUCUGGGACGUGGUGACGCUGGUGGUUGUUGGGCUGCGAACGGAAGGAGAAGAGAGGGAGGCGUGCGGCGUGCGGGGUACAGGAAGGAGAAGAAGAAAAUACGCGCGGGAGGAAGAAGAAGAAAAAUUUUCUUUUCUUUUCUUUUAUUUAAUUUAAUAAUAAAAAUUAUAAAAUAAAUAAAUAUAUAUAGUUAUAUUAUUA